GAUGAAGAACGUAGCGAAAUGCGAUAAGUAGUGUGAAUUGCAGAAGUCAGUGAAUCAUCGAAUCUUUGAACGCACAUUGCGCCCCUUGGUAUUCCAUGGGGCAUGCCUGUUCGAGCGUCAUUUGUACCUUCAAGCUCUGCUUGGUGUUGGGUGUUUGUCUCGCCUCUGCGUGUAGACUCGCCUCAAAACAAUUGGCAGCCGGCGUAUUGAUUUCGGAGCGCAGUACAUCUCGCGCUUUGCACUCAUAACGACGACGUCCAAAAGUACAUUUUUACACUCUUGACCUCGGAUCAGGUAGGGAUACCCGCUGAACUUAAGCAUAUCAAUAAGCGGAGGA
rnacentral:misc_RNA from 1 species